CCCUGCGCUAGUCUAGGUUUGUCAACGCAAAAAGAUCAGGAACUUCGAGGGGAGCAGGUUGCUGAAGCCCACCGUGGAGCCUUGUCUCCCUCCUGUCCACCUGACCUGCUCUGUUAAGCUGAGCCAAUGUCGGUGGCUUUGCGAACUGUAAUUGGAUUCAAGCUUUAAGAUUCUGUUGCCAUUUGCCAGUAAACAGAGUAUCGGUGACACAAUCAGUAGCAAAUACAGCUUUAUAUUGUUCAUCGUGUGCAGUGUUUCAUAAAUAAAUAAGUGAUUGAAAAUUGUGAUAGGAACAUGUCUAUGACUCUGGACAAGGAGCCCAUAAAUAUAACAGUAACAUAGAGCACAAACCUUCACAAAUAGACUUAAAGACUGGCUUGCUGGACUGAAUGAGAACUGGGAUGUAUUUAUGGUAUUUGGUGUGUAAUUAAAUGCUAAUAGCAAAACAUGCAGUUUUAAUUUUUUUAAGAAUAUUUCUGAUUUUCUUAUUUUACAGCAUCAUUUAGCAACAACAAAAAGGUCAAAAUAAUGUUAUUAUAUCAACAUUUAUUAUUUUACUGAAUCAACUGACAAAGAUUUGGCAUUUUUUUGUAAGAACUUGUGGGGUAUCUCGUUUCAUUGCGUUUGAAUUUUUUUUUAAUAAUUAUUUUGGUACCUUUGAUAUGUUAAGCUGCUUUUUUCACUGCUUGUGUGCCACCUGUUCACUUACGCCUGCUGGUUUACUCUCUUUAUUUACUGCACAGACUUUUUUUCUGCUUUGUUGCUUGUGCUUUUUUCAGGUUGUGACUAAAUGUGAAGACUGACCUACUUUGCAAUUUAAGUACUGACACCUUCGGCUGUUCUGAGUCAGAUUACUAAUACUUGAUGUAUACUGAGCCAUCUGAAUGCUCAGAUAUUUAGGUGGUGGAAAUAUUUUUUUCCUAAAAACAUACUAAACAUACUGAAACAUACUAAAAACAUACUAAAAAAUAAAAGGAAAAAAGAGAAAGCAGAAAUAUUUGAGUUGUGUCAUGGCACAUCGCAUUUUCCAAUUUUAAGGCUUAUUUAUACUAAUUGUUUUUCAUUAGUUAAUUAAUUUUUCAAUCAUCCAUUAAUGCAUUAAUUGUAUUGAUAGAAAUAUAUGAUGUAUAUGUUAUACAUAUGACAAGAACUGAUGCUUCUUAUGUUUGCAGCAUAAUAAAUGUCAUGAGAUCUAAAAGUAAUUUAAAAGAUUUAAAUGAAUGAAUUUGGUUUUCAUGACCAGGAAUGAUGGUGAAGGUGGGAAGUAUGUAUAUUUUAUUAUAACAGACUGGGAUGUAAACAGGUUAUAGUUAAUAUGUAUCUCUAAUAAAACUGUAGCACUGGGAAUAUAGAACAUAAUGUUAAGGUAGUUUUCCUUAAGUCCAUUGUGCACAGACAUGCAUUUUUUAUCCUUCUGAUAAGAACUUAUGUCAAAUGUAGUACUAAUGCAAAGUUGAGUGGAAGAUCACGUGUGGUUAAAAAAGCAUGAAUUUAUGGAUUGAGCUGGGUUGUUUUGCAUACACACUGUCUACUCUUUGAUAAUUGAAAUGUUGAAAAAUCCACUACACUGUCCACUAUUAUAGUGUUAUUGAAAGCAACAUCAUUGCAUUAAGUGAGUGAGUGUGUACUGAUGAGUUGGUCAGAUUACUGAAGAGGGUGCUGUUUUCUGAGCCUAACAACUACUACAGCUGAGGAUGAGUGCUGCUGCUCACGUAUAGAAUUUGAUUUAAACAACAUAAAGCAUAGAGCAGCUGUAACUGACAGAAUCAGUGUUAGCUGGUGCACAAACAUCUCAAAUAAUUGUUACGUGUGGAUGAUACUUAUACAGUAAAAUGCUGGUAGUUGAGACUUGGUGCUAGUUGGGGUGAAGGAACAGCGUCCAGGCAUGGUUGUGAGUGGAGACCUUGAGGGCAAAGGCUGAGGAUGGCAAGGGCUCCAGCUGCUGGUCCAAUGUGUAUGUAGCAAACCUUGACUUAGUUUUGCAGGUAAGGGUUUGGAGGCGAGUGGAGUUAAAGCAGCACAUGAAUGAGAAAGUGCCAGCGUAGCAGGAUGUUGGGAAGGUGACAAAGACAAGUAUCGCUCCCCCCUGGCCCAUCAUCUGCUUGUUGUCAACGUCACCAUCACUUUGUUCCCAUUCAUGUUCUGUGGCAGACAGGGUGCUCCACAAGCUCCUGCAGGGCUGAGCUCCAGAGCUGCUGUGUCACAAUCCGGGAUUUUUGUAUGCCUCUCUGACUUUGCCAUUGCCUGUUCCUCUUGUGCUGUCGCCAAUCUGCCAUCGUGACUCCAAGUUUGCAUUAAAACCCUUAUACUUACCUGUCUGCCCUUUGUGCUGUGCAUGUGGGUCCGCCAUCUUCGUGGCCGCUGCCGUGACACUCUGGUCCUGGAAGCAGUGGUCAUCAAAGUGUGUAGUUCUGAAAUCUCUCUCUCUGUGCCUCCCUUAAUAUUUCUAUUGCCUCCCUUAAUGUCUCUAUUGUUGCUAGGGAGUCAAGAUUUGACCUAUUAUGUGCCUGCCGGUUAACAUGCUGCAUUAACAUCUAACACCGGUUUAACGUUUGCACAACUGCAUCACCUCCACAAAUCAGGAGAGUAACGUCACACUUCAUAUAUAGUACAUGGAUAUGAGCUGUCAUGUUUGAUCAUUAAAUAUAAUUAAAGUCAUCAGUCAGUCGACUAGCUUGUUGCUGUGUACUGCUUGUGGAGCUUUCAGGAUCUGGGGCCCAUUUUAAGAAGGAGGUUUUGUUGAAACUCUGAGUUUUUUAACCCCGAAAUGAGGAAAACUCAGAGUUUUUGGUUUCAGAAACGGGGUAAGUUAAAGCUGUUUCAAGAAGAGAGGUAAUCGAAACUUAGAGUCAGCUACUAUGACAACUUUCUGUACUCUGUGAACCUAACCUGGUUGGGAGCAGGUUUUGUACAAAAAACCCAGAGUUUCCUUCGGUCCCCGCCCCUUUUUAAAGUGAACAGUGUUGAAAUAGGCCAUUUAAUAUUUCAGUACAUUCGUAGAUUUUUACCUGUUUCCUUUGCGCAGAGAUCAAAAUGGCAUGUCCGUUUCUAGAUGAUCCUGUAGAUGAGGAGGCUGUAUUAUUUCACACGGCAUUGAAUUACGCCGCGAGAGGACUUUAAGGUCACAAGUUCAUUUUCUGUCAUAUCCACAUGCAUAUAUAUUUGAGUGUUUUUUCUCAAGACUCCAUAACAUAUAUAACAUAAUACUCAAUCAUUAAUCAUUUGUUGUGUUUCCUUGCCACAAACCCCUCAGAGCCAUUAAAGAGGAGUUUCUGAGGAUUGCAGGUUUGUGGUAUUUAAUUUGUUUCAGUGAGGCUAAUCUUAAUUCUUGCUGUGACAUCUGGAAAUAAACUUAGAAUUAGAAUCCCCUUUCCAUUUCCAUUGCCAUGUCCAAAUAUGGUUGGAUGCAUUGAUGGCACACAUAUUCCCAUCAGUCUGUCUAAAACUCUUAUUUAGGUAAAUGUCAUGUUUAGUGGUGUUCUGGUAUUUUGGCCAUUUUGACUGACCCUCUGGGCACAUGGCUGGAAACAGCUCUAACCCAUCUAAACACAUUUAUUUAUUAUUCACAGGGUUUGGCUGAAACACUGGGCCACCUGUUGGCCAUUCUCUCACUUUACACCUCACAUCACAAAUUUGGGAUGUUCUCACAUUAUACUCAUGCGCUAUUACAUUAGGGGUCAGGCUCUGAAGGGCCAAGACUAAAGCAUCAACUGUACCAUCACUGACACUUACAGAGAUAACAGAGAUAUCAGGCUCUGCCAUAACAUUACUUCCUAAUAGGGGGAGUUGAGAACAUCCUGACUGACAAAUACUGGUACCUGUAUUGUGCAAUGCCCAUUAGUCUCACUACCAAUUUGAAGUUCAACGUUAUCUGCAGCAACAAAAGGACUGGUCAGAGAAGAGAGAUUAUAGUGGCUGAAUUUGUUCAAUGGGGAGUACAUUUUCCAUCCAUAGACUUAGCACAGAUGUUCCUUUUACAUUUGGUUAUGGUGUUCAAUGGAUGCCCUGCCUGCUAGCAUCUUACAGUAUGUGCUGUUGUUUCAGGGGCAUCUUUGCACAGCCUGCACCUGGGGUCCUGCCUGGUAUGGUAGAUCCCAUUCUUGUUCCAUGUGCCCUGGUUACCUAACGCCUGACGUGGACCCUGACCCAGGAGAUAUACGAGCCGGUGUGACCGACCGGGAAUCGAAUAUGCACCCUACUGUACUGAAGUCAGCAGUAAUGACUCAAAUAUGAGCCUGAAUGGCUAAUUAGGGAUUGACCAUUAUUACAGUACAUUUUGCUAAUGGCAGUAGAAAACCAUGAUGAUCUUAUAAUGAUUUGUACAACAUGUAAUCUGUACAAUAUCAAGUCAAAACCUUAGCCAUUAGGCAGGAAAUCAAGGAUCUGUUGCAACUUAUUGAGUUCUAUGAGUUCUAUAGAAAACCCAACAAAUCCCACUGAGUAGUGCCAGUAGACGGGGGAAGAAUCCUGCAACUGAGCCAGGCUCAUCUGCCUCCAGUGGUUGGGAUGAGGGAGAGAAAGUACAACACGUUUUAUCAACACAAGUUUUAUGGAACCAGGUUCCAGUGGUUCUCUGCUGUUUCCUAAACUUUAAAGGACUAAAUGUAAAACCUGAACCACUAUUUUAGUGCAGACAGUGGAAACAUUAUAUGAACAAUAUUUAAAAAUAUUGUAGCUCCUGUAUUCAGGUCAGAGUCAACAUACAGGAGGCCUGAGGUUAAUUACUCUAUUUCAUCUUUGAUUAUGAUCCUCCUGCACCUAGUAAACCACUGUCAUAUGUUAUUUUUAUGUUGCUGGUUUAAUUGUCAUCUGGUCCUAAAGUUUAUCUCACAUCGUUGUUUAGCUUGGUUUGUGCUCCUCGGAUUAAUGGACACAGCUGUGUUGUAAUAGCAGGUUCUGACCUGAAGGUAGAGCUCCAACAUUCCUCAUCCUAAAAGCAACGAACUGCUGCUUCUGUAAUGAUGGUUUUAUCAUCUGAUUUUAAAGGUGCCUUCUCAGAAAUCACCAGGCUGUAGAAUUCCAGUCUGGACUUCGUGCUUUUCUCCAGUUCACCACUUUGAACCACUUAUGAUCUCUGCUCCCUCCAGUGGGUCUGCUCAUCAUGUCCUCACUGGAGACAUGCUAUAAUGAAGCUAUACAGUGACUGUCACUACUCGGAACAUGUUCUGACCUGGAUCUGCUUCUGGUUCUGACUCUGCUGGACUACUGCACUUGUGAGGGGCUUCAUGUCUGUGAUGAUUUUAGAUGAGCUGGAGGAGAUCCUGGACAUCAUUGAACCCACACAGUUUGUCAAGAUCCAGGAGCUGCUCUUCAAACAGAUUUCCAAAUGUGUCUCCAGCCCACAUUUCCAGGUCCAGAUGAUGCGACGCUCAUGUCAGCUCCACAGAAUGCCUCAGCACACAACCUGGACUUGAUGAGUAGCUUGUCGACCUGAAACUUCUGUUUGAUUCCAGUACAGCUGUUUGGGUUUGGUUUGAAGCAGAGGAGUCUUGUGACUAAAGGGAAUGUUUGUACAUGAAAUGAUGCUCUGUGUUCACUAUUAUCACUUAUUUGGCUUUUACCUCAUGUUUAUUUUUUAUUUACUGUAUUUGAUGAAGCAAAUGAUUACACAAUGUACUGGAACCGAUGUAACAAAAUAAUUGUUGGAAACCUCUCCAUUGUGAAACAGUUUUUAAAUGUUUAUCUCAUCUGUUUGGGGACAAACAAUAAGAUGAGAUGAGAUGUUUACAAAAAAAUUUCAUUCCAAAUAGUUACAAUGUGCUCUCUGAUGUUGGGACAAUUUCUUAAUCCAUCCCAUAAAUAAACUGCCAACGGUUUGUGUUCAUUUCUUUAUCACUAAUACUUUUGCCUUUUUUGUGGGUUUCAC